UUAAGCGACUAAGCGUACACGGUGGAUGCCCUGGCAGUCAGAGGCGAUGAAGGACGUGCUAAUCUGCGAUAAGCGUCGGUAAGGUGAUAUGAACCGUUAUAACCGGCGAUUUCCGAAUGGGGAACCAGUGUGAUUCGUCACACUAUCAUUAACUGAAUCCAUAGGUUAAUGAGGCGAACCGGGGAACUGAAACAUCUAAGUACCCCGAGGAAAAGAAAUCAACCGAGAUUCCCCCAGUAGCGGCGAGCGAACGGGGAGCAGCCCAGAGCCUGAAUCAGUGUGUGUGUUAGUGGAAGCGUCUGGAAAGGCGCGCGAUACAGGGUGACAGCCCCGUACACAAAAAUGCACAUGCUGUGAGCUCGAUGAGUAGGGCGGGACACGUGGUAUCCUGUCUGAAUAUGGGGGGACCAUCCUCCAAGGCUAAAUACUCCUGACUGACCGAUAGUGAACCAGUACCGUGAGGGAAAGGCGAAAAGAACCCCGGCGAGGGGAGUGAAAAAGAACCUGAAACCGUGUACGUACAAGCAGUGGGAGCACGCUUAGGCGUGUGACUGCGUACCUUUUGUAUAAUGGGUCAGCGACUUAUAUUCUGUAGCAAGGUUAACCGAAUAGGGGAGCCGAAGGGAAACCGAGUCUUAACUGGGCGUUAAGUUGCAGGGUAUAGACCCGAAACCCGGUGAUCUAGCCAUGGGCAGGUUGAAGGUUGGGUAACACUAACUGGAGGACCGAACCGACUAAUGUUGAAAAAUUAGCGGAUGACUUGUGGCUGGGGGUGAAAGGCCAAUCAAACCGGGAGAUAGCUGGUUCUCCCCGAAAGCUAUUUAGGUAGCGCCUCGUGAAUUCAUCUCCGGGGGUAGAGCACUGUUUCGGCAAGGGGGUCAUCCCGACUUACCAACCCGAUGCAAACUGCGAAUACCGGAGUAUGUUAUCACGGGAGACACACGGCGGGUGCUAACGUCCGUCGUGAAGAGGGAAACAACCCAGACCGCCAGCUAAGGUCCCAAAGUCAUGGUUAAGUGGGAAACGAUGUGGGAAGGCCCAGACAGCCAGGAUGUUGGCUUAGAAGCAGCCAUCAUUUAAAGAAAGCGUAAUAGCUCACUGGUCGAGUCGGCCUGCGCGGAAGAUGUAACGGGGCUAAACCAUGCACCGAAGCUGCGGCAGCGACGCUUAUGCGUUGUUGGGUAGGGGAGCGUUCUGUAAGCCUGUGAAGGUGUACUGUGAGGUAUGCUGGAGGUAUCAGAAGUGCGAAUGCUGACAUAAGUAACGAUAAAGCGGGUGAAAAGCCCGCUCGCCGGAAGACCAAGGGUUCCUGUCCAACGUUAAUCGGGGCAGGGUGAGUCGACCCCUAAGGCGAGGCCGAAAGGCGUAGUCGAUGGGAAACAGGUUAAUAUUCCUGUACUUGGUGUUACUGCGAAGGGGGGACGGAGAAGGCUAUGUUGGCCGGGCGACGGUUGUCCCGGUUUAAGCGUGUAGGCUGGUUUUCCAGGCAAAUCCGGAAAAUCAAGGCUGAGGCGUGAUGACGAGGCACUACGGUGCUGAAGCAACAAAUGCCCUGCUUCCAGGAAAAGCCUCUAAGCAUCAGGUAACAUCAAAUCGUACCCCAAACCGACACAGGUGGUCAGGUAGAGAAUACCAAGGCGCUUGAGAGAACUCGGGUGAAGGAACUAGGCAAAAUGGUGCCGUAACUUCGGGAGAAGGCACGCUGAUAUGUAGGUGAAGCGACUUGCUCGUGGAGCUGAAAUCAGUCGAAGAUACCAGCUGGCUGCAACUGUUUAUUAAAAACACAGCACUGUGCAAACACGAAAGUGGACGUAUACGGUGUGACGCCUGCCCGGUGCCGGUAGGUUAAUUGAUGGGGUCAGCGCAAGCGAAGCUCUUGAUCGAAGCCCCGGUAAACGGGGGCCGUAACUAUAACGGUCCUAAGGUAGCGAAAUUCCUUGUCGGGUAAGUUCCGACCUGCACGAAUGGCGUAAUGAUGGCCAGGCUGUCUCCACCCGAGACUCAGUGAAAUUGAACUCGCUGUGAAGAUGCAGUGUACCCGCGGCAAGACGGAAAGACCCCGUGAACCUUUACUAUAGCUUGACACUGAACAUUGAGCCUUGAUGUGUAGGAUAGGUGGGAGGCUUUGAAGUGUGGACGCCAGUCUGCAUGGAGCCGACCUUGAAAUACCACCCUUUAAUGUUUGGUGUUCUAACGUUGACCCGUAAUCCGGGUUGCGGACAGUGUCUGGUGGGUAGUUU
rnacentral:rRNA from 1 species